rnacentral:rRNA from 1 species
UACGUAGGGGGCAAGCGUUGUCCGGAUUUAUUGGGCGUAAAGAGCGUGUAGGCGGCCAGACAGGUCUGCUGUGAAAACUCGAGGCUCAACCUCGAGACGCCGGUGGAAACCGUUUGGCUAGAGUCCGGAAGAGGAGAGUGGAAUUCCUGGUGUAGCGGUGAAAUGCGCAGAUAUCAGGAAGAACACCCGUGGCUAAGGCGGCAUUCUGGACUGCAACUGACACUGAUGAACGAAAGCCAGGGGAGCAAACGGG